CAGAAGCCCUCAUUGUCCGGGUUAUCCACGGGGCUCAUGAGCACGUCGUCGGGGGGCGCGAAGCGGUACGCCUGGAUGCCUUUCACCUCCACGUCCUUCACGUAGGCCAGAUGGAUGGAUCUGCCAGAAAAAACAAAGGCGGGCGAGGACGCGAUAUCGGUGCGCGCAUACCUGCAGAGAUCGGCGGCGAAAAUGUAGAGCAGCUCGUUCCUGUUGAUGAGCGGGUGGAAGACGGCGCCGUCCGUGCCGUUGAUCAUGUUGCUCUGGUUGGAUGACCAGAACGUCAUCUCCCUGGUCGCGAGGAGAAAACAAACGGCGGUGUUAGCUGUUACUGCGUGAAAGAGUCACAUGUUGACGUUAAAAAAAAAAAAAAA